rnacentral:rRNA from 1 species
UACCGGCGGCUCGAGUGGUGGCCACUAUUACUGGGCUUAAAGCGUCCGUAGCUUGGUUGUUAAGUCUUCUGGGAAAUCCAUCGGCUCAACCGAUGGGCGUUCAGGAGAUACUGGCAACCUAGGGACCGGGAGAGGUGAGAGGUACUCCAGGGGUAGGAGUGAAAUCCUGUAAUCCUUGGGGGACCACCUGUGGCGAAGGCGUCUCACUAGAACGGCUCCGACAGUGAGGGACGAAAGCUGGGGGAGCAAACCGG